CACGUAGGGCGCAAGCGUUGUCCGGAAUUAUUGGGCGUAAAGAGCUCGUAGGUGGUUUGUUACGUCUGCUGUGAAAACCUAGGGCUUAACCCUGGGCUUGCAGUGGAUACGGGCAGACUAGAGGUAGGUAGGGGAGAAUGGAAUUCCUGGUGUAGCGGUGAAAUGCGUAGAUAUCAGGAGGAAUACCGAUGGCGAAGGCAGGUCUCUGGGCUAUAACUGACGCUCAUGCACGAAAGCGUGGGGAGCAAACAGG
rnacentral:rRNA from 1 species